AGGAUCAUUACUGAACUGUCGACAUGAGUUGUUGCUGGUCCCCAGUGGGGACAUGUGCACACUCUGUUAACACAUCCACUCACACCUGUGCACCCUCUGUAGUUCUUAUGGUGUGGGGACCCUGUCCUCCUGCCAUGGUUCUACGUAUUUACAUACACACUGUGACAAAGUCUUAUGGAAUGUAUACCGCGUUUAACGCAAUACAAUACAACUUUCAGCAACGGAUCUCUUGGCUCUCGCAUCGAUGAAGAACGCAGCGAAAUGCGAUAAGUAAUGUGAAUUGCAGAAUUCAGUGAAUCAUCGAAUCUUUGAACGCACCUUGCGCCCCUUGGAUAUUCCGAAGGGCAUGCCUGUUUGAGUAUCAUGAACACCUCAACUCUCAUGGUUUGCCAUGAUGAGCUUGGACUUUGGGGGUUCUGCUGGCCCAUGGUCGGCUCCCCUUAAAUGGAUCAGCUUGCCAGUGUUUUGGUGGGAUCCCAGGUGUGAUAACUAUCUACGCUUGUGGCUUUCUGUCAAGCAACCUUCAGCAAUGAGGGUUCGCUGGGGCUCAUAAAUGUCUCUCUUGUGGAGACAGGUUUUUGAAGUUUGAUCUCAAAUCAGGUAGGACUACCCGCUGAACUUAAGCAUAUCAAUAAGCGGAGGAAAAGAAACUAACAAGGAUUCCCCUAGUAACUGCGAGUGAAGCGGGAAGAGCUCAAAUUUAAAAUCUGGCAUGCCUCUGGUUGCCCGAGUUGUAGUCUGGAGAAGCGUUUUCUGUGUUGGACCGUGUAUAAGUCUCUUGGAACAGGGCGUCAUAGAGG
rnacentral:rRNA from 1 species